rnacentral:rRNA from 1 species
UACGUAGGUGGCGAGCGUUGUCCGGAUUUACUGGGCGUAAAGAGCGCGCAGGCGGUCGUUCAAGUCGCGUGUGAAAGCCCCCGGCUCAACUGGGGAGGGUCACGCGAUACUGAUCGACUCGAAGGCAGGAGAGGAUAGUGGAAUUCCCGGUGUAGUGGUGAAAUGCGUAGAUAUCGGGAGGAACACCAGUGGCGAAGGCGACUACCUGGCCUGUUCUUGACGCUGAGGCGCGAAAGCUAGGGGAGCAAACGGG